CUUCAGCACCUGGACUCUCCAGGUCACUUUGCCAGGAUCCUCUUUGUGGACUUCAGCUUCGAUUUCAAUACCAUUCAAAAGCGUGUUUUUUGGAGACCCAAUCUCAAUGUCCACCCUCAAGCACUCACUGACUUUGAGGCUCGUUCCAGUUAAGUCUGUGAGGGCUUAGGGCUGUCCCACUGCCAAAUCUUCAAUUGUGUGAGGGAUCUCUCACAGACUUUUUGAGCCCUGAAUGCCCCUUCACAUCAGACAUGGACACACCUGAAUUCUUCUUCCAGUAGCAGAGAGUUCAUCAGCUCCUACAGAUGUUCCUGUAAUAAAUGUCCCUCUAUCAUUACAGAUGUGAAUCACUGAAUCUACAGCUGCUGAGACCAGGAACUGAAUCAGAUGAUGCUGAGUGUGGAGAACCAAGUCCAGAGAAGACACGAGUGAUCAUCAGUGUUGUUGUUGGUGGUUGUGUUGUUUUUUUUUAGCUGCUUUGUCUGCGUUUGUAGUGCAGCGUUACAGAGAGAAGAUAAACAUAUGUCUAAUCAGAGGAAAAAGAAGCAAAUCAGAAAACGGACACAUGGAACAAGAGAAUUUAAACAACGGACGACCUGUAGAGGUGAAGCGGGACUGAACAGAGGAUCAGGUGUGACGGAUCAUACCUAAACAUGCAGAUUGUUUCCUGUACACUACCGAGUAUGAUCUCUUUGUCAAUGGAUAUGAAACGCUGUAAAUAUGG